rnacentral:rRNA from 1 species
GAUGAACGCUGGCGGCGUGCCUAAUACAUGCAAGUCGAGCGAACAGACGAGGAGCUUGCUCCCCUGCCGUUAGCGGCGGACGGGUGAGUAACACGUGGAUAACCUACUUAUAAGACUGGGAUAACUUCGGGAAACCGGAGCUAAUACUGGAUAAUAUAUUGAACCGCAUGGUUCAAUAGUGAAAGACGGCUUUGCUGUCACUUAUAGAUGGAUCCGCGCUGCAUUAGCUAGUUGGUAAGGUAACGGCUUACCAAGGCGACGAUGCGUAGCCGACCUGAGAGGGUGAUCGGCCACACUGGAACUGAGACACGGUCCAGACUCCUACGGGAGGCAGCAGUAGGGAAUCUUCCGCAAUGGGCGAAAGCCUGACGGAGCAACGCCGCGUGAGUGAUGAAGGUCUUCGGAUCGUAAAACUCUGUUAUUAGGGAAGAACAAAUGUGUAAGUAACUAUGCACGUCUUGACGGUACCUAAUCAGAAAGCCACGGCUAACUACGUG